CCUCCAGUUUGGAGAUGAACCUUGCAAGUCUUUCUGUGCUGAUGUGGAUGAUCAGAAUGGGGAGCACGGAGGUGGCUUUGUAUCUGUACCUAAUCUUAAUGCAGCAGGAUCCUGGUUUGUGACUGAGGUUCCUAAAAAAAAGACUCAUCUAAUGCUGAAGCAGCUCAGCUGGAAAUGGUUUGGGGAAUCUUGGAAUGGAUCAAAACAGACCACAAUGGUUAGAAACAUCUCUGAGCAAGUAAGGAGACAUCAGGUAACUUGUAGCAGAAUGGUCUGAAACUGAAUAGGUCUGAGAAUCAGGGAUUAGGGAUGGCAGCUCAGAUCUAUUUAGGUGAACAGAAUAGUUCAGGGAGGCUGAUACGGUUAAGAUAGCUCAGGAUAAGGUAGGCUAGCAUUGUAGUGUUAGGACAGUGAGCUGAGAAAAGAAAUUGCCUCUUUGUGCUAAUGAAUGCACUAAGAGUUUGUACCAUCCAAGCACAAUGCCCAGCAGAGGGG
ensembl:lncRNA